rnacentral:tRNA from 1 species
GGAACCGUGCCCGAACACCCAGGGACCACUUUGAUGGAGUGGCUCAUGGGGGUUAAAAUCCCCCCAGUUCCU